rnacentral:rRNA from 1 species
UAGGGAAUCUUCCGCAAUGGACGCAAGUCUGACGGAGCAACGCCGCGUGAGUGAAGAAGGAUUUCGGUUCGUAAAACUCUGUUGUUAGAGAAGAACAGCGCAUAGAGUAACUGUUAUGCGUGUGACGUUAUCUAACCAGAAAGCCACGGCUAACUACGUGCCAGCAGCCGCGGUAAUACGUAGGUGGCAAGCGUUGUCCGGAUUUAUUGGGCGUAAAGCGAGCGCAGGCGGUCAAUUAAGUCUGAUGUGAAAGCCCCCGGCUCAACCGGGGAGGGUCAUUGGAAACUGGUUAACUUGAGUGCAGAAGAGGAGAGUGGAAUUCCAUGUGUUGCGGUGAAAUGCGUAGAUAUAUGGAGGAACACCAGUGGCGAAGGCGACUCUCUGGUCUGUAACUGACGCUGAGGCUCGAAAGCGUAGGUAGCAAACAUG